rnacentral:rRNA from 1 species
UACGUAGGGGGCAAGCGUUGUCCGGAAUCAUUGGGCGUAAAGAGCGUGUAGGCGGCCCGGUAAGUCCGCUGUGAAAGUCGGGGGCUCAACCCUCGAAUGCCGGUGGAUACUGUCGGGCUAGAGUGCGGGAGAGGCGAGUGGAAUUCCUGGUGUAGCGGUGAAAUGCGCAGAUAUCAGGAGGAACACCUAUAGCGAAGGCAGCUCGCUGGGACGACACUGACGCUGAGACGCGAAAGCGUGGGGAGCGAACAGG